rnacentral:misc_RNA from 1 species
GGGUUGUUGAGAGAAAUGAAAAAGGAAAAGACCGAAAUGAAAGAGUGGAAGAUUCUGGAAGUGUUGUUGGCAGGCAAGCGUAUUUACGACAACGAGGUGAGCAAGAGAAGAACAAUGGAACACGUGUUGUGGUAGCCAUUGGAUGAUUACGAGUUAGAUGGUGGGAUUAAAGUGCGUUUCAUCCGAUCCCCGGUGAGACAGAGCCUUCAAUGCUUGUACAGCUUACCUCUGUGUCGUGACCAUUAAUACGGAGGUUGCUUGUUCCCCUCAUCGAUUGAGAUUUUC